rnacentral:rRNA from 1 species
AGAGUUUGAUCAAUGGCUCAGAUUGAACGCUGGCGGAAUGCUUUACACAUGCAAGUCGAACGGCUAGCACGGGGCAACCUGGUGGCGAGUGGCGAACGGGUGAGUAAUACAUCGGAACGUGCCCAAUCGUGGGGAUAACGUAGCGAAAGUUACGCUAAUACCGCAUACGAUCUACGGAUGAAAGCGGGGGAUCGCAAGACCUCGCGCGAGUGGAGCGGCCGAUGUCAGAUUAGGUAGUUGGUGGGGUAAAGGCUCACCAAGCCAACGAUCUGUAGCUGGUCUGAGAGGACGACCAGCCACACUGGAACUGAGACACGGUCCAGACUCCUACGGGAGGCAGCAGUGGGGAAUUUUGGACAAUGGGCGCAAGCCUGAUCCAGCCAUUCCGCGUGCAGGAUGAAGGCCUUCGGGUUGUAAACUGCUUUUGUACGGAACGAAACGGCGAGCUCUAAUACAGUUUGCUAAUGACGGUACCGUAAGAAUAAGCACCGGCUAACUACGUG